rnacentral:sRNA from 1 species
AAGGACAGAGUAACAGGUGUCCCGAGUCCUAAGCCCCAGUGAAGAGAUGGCUCAGGAACUGCUGCAGGCUGAGUCCAAUGAAGCAAGUGCAUCCUUGCAACUCAAGGAGCCAGCUUCCAGCCCAGAUGU